AGGGGAUAACUACUGGAAGCGGUAGCUAAUACCGCAUAACGUCGCAAGACCAAAGAGGGGGACCUUCGGGCCUCUUGCCAUCAGAUGUGCCCAGAUGGGAUUAGCUAGUAGGUGGGGUAACGGCUCACCUAGGCGACGAUCCCUAGCUGGUCUGAGAGGAUGACCAGCCACACUGGAACUGAGACACGGUCCAG
rnacentral:rRNA from 1 species